GAUUCCCCGCUGCCAAGAAAAGCUUCUAGCGAGAUAAAAGGUGCCUGUACCGCAAACCGACACAGGUAGGCGAGGAGAGAAUCCUAAGGUGAGCGAGAGAACUCUGGUUAAGGAACUCGGCAAAAUGACCCCGUAACUUCGGGAGAAGGGGUGCUUUCUUAACGGAAAGCCGCAGUGAAUAGGCCCAAGCGACUGUUUAGCAAAAACACAGGUCUCUGCGAAGCCGUAAGGCGAAGUAUAGGGGCUGACACCUGCCCGGUGCUGGAAGGUUAAGGAGAGGGGUUAGCGUAAGCGAAGCUCUGAACUGAAGCCCCAGUAAACGGCGGCCGUAACUAUAACGGUCCUAAGGUAGCGAAAUUCCUUGUCGGGUAAGUUCCGACCCGCACGAAAGGUGUAACGAUUUGGGCACUGUCUCAACCAGAGACUCGGUGAAAUUAUAGUACCUGUGAAGAUGCAGGUUACCCGCGACAGGACGGAAAGACCCCGUGGAGCUUUACUGUAGCCUGAUAUUGAAUUUUGGUACAGCUUGUACAGGAUAGGCGGGAGCCUUUGAAG
rnacentral:rRNA from 1 species